UUUUUUUUUUUUUUUUGUCUUUUUGAUCUUUUAGGGCCACAUCUGUGGCAUAUGGAGGUGCCCAGGCUAGGGGUCGAAUCAGAGCUGUAGCCACCGGCCUACACCACAGCCACGGCAAUGCGGGAUCCGUCUAUGACCUACACCGCAGCUCACGGCAGUGCCGGAUCCUUAGCCCACUCAGUGAGGCCAGGGAUCAAGCCCGAAACCUCGUGGUUCCUCGUCGGAUUCGUUUCCGCUGCGCCACGACGGGAGCUCCCAAAAAUUCUGUUUUGACUUGUUUGCUUUCAUAAGGAAGUUUAUUCCUUUUUAAGUGCAGUAUGUGCGUUUUCCUGGGACGUUCUCCGUAGACAUUGAACUUGGGUCAUCACCAUUCUCUUGCUGGCCUCUUGAUUCGGCAGGGUCCGGGCCGUGCUCUCGGAGUGAAGGGAACUCCACGGGACGUGCUCCUAGCACAGCAUCCCAGAUGCUGUACGAAGAGCCCUGUCUUCGCCUGUACAGUGGGUGUGUUUCAGGGUAGCUGCUCCAGGGUCAAACGGUGUGACUCAGAACUCUUAAUCCUGCUCAUUUUCACCUUCAUGUUGAUUUAAUCCAAGUCGGGGGCUGACGGACUGCUUCUUACAGCCCCCGCCCGCCGUGGUCUGAUCCAGAAUGCAGACCUGCUGGCUGUUCUUCUGUGCCCCCAGCGCCGCCCGGCCCAGCACCGGUUUUGCCCCAAUGCCUGCAGUCUCCACAUGGCUUUGUGUCCGGACCACUCACGCCUGGUCCCGGGGAGCUGACCGCGUACUUCCGCCGUCUCACUGGAAGGAUCGGGAAAGGAGAGGCAGGUUAACUGGUCCCCUCUAGGAGCCUGUCCAUAGAAGGGUUUUUUGAGAAUUUGAGAAGGUUCUGGGAAGGUUCCGGGGACGUGGGGAGUGGAGAUUUUUGUUGGGGAGUUUCCGCAGAAGCCGGAGGUGAGGACCUGGGUAUUUUGUGGGGCUGGCCAGCUUGCGUGCGCUGCAGUCGAGUCACUGAUGGUGACGGUGGUGAAGGCGGUGGCCAAGGGAGGUCAGGACUGCGUUGAUGGGCGUCUGAGUUGCCCCUUAGCUGUCCACGAGCCCAGGGCUCUGAGUGACCGGGACAGAGGUGUGCUGCUGCUGAGGAACCGGGUCCGCAGUGGCCAGCGUCUCCCGCGGUUGCCGCGGAGCCAGGCGGCCCGGCGGUUUCACACGAGGAUGCCCCGUCCGUGGGCCUUUGCGGGGGCAUCUUGCCUCUUUGCAGAUGAUGCUUUGACCUAGGAGGUUCUUUUCUAAAUGCGGAUUUGGACCUCAGUGUCCUCGAAGGCUCGGGGGAGGAGAUGCUUGUCUCUAGGCCCUCAGCGCCCGUGGAGGGAAAGACACAGCGGCACGUCUGUGCCCUGGGCAUGUUGGGGGCUUGGCCUGAAGUGCUGACGCCUCUGUGGUUUUUCUGUCCCAAGGAGACCUGCUUUUAGGAAAUGCACAGCUGGCCUCUGAGGGGGCGGGCCAGGAGUUUGGUUAGACGUCCCCACGGGGGCCUCUUGGCCUCUGAGAAAGCCCGGCUGUCUGUCUGCUCAUCCCUCUUUCUGCGAUUUGGUACCCCCCCCCCCCCAUCAUCCCUCGGUUGUUUCAUGGUCAUUUCUCCUGGUGCCGUGAAAAAGCAGAGGUGGGGCUGGGCCAGCAGGUCAGUGACACAGGUCGGCCUCCUGGUGACCAGCGUGGCACAGUCGCAUUUCACGGAAGGGCUGGGGGGCGGUCCUGGUUGGGGGUGGUGGCGGUGGUGGCACCUGGCAGGUGAGGAGCUGAGAGACCCUUGGGCUGGAGUCCACCUGCACGUGCUGCACGGGAGACCCCCUGCCCCGGGGUGGGGGUGGUUGGUUGCUCCUCCUGCUUGGUCUGUGCUUAGAUUUCCUGCCCCUUCCUGUCCCCUCUCAAUACCUCUGUCCAGGGUAAAACUCCCACGGCUGGUGGCCCUGGCCUGGACAGAGGCGUGACUUUCUUGGCGCCCAGUGGGCUUCCCCGAGCUGUCCUGUCCGUGAGGCCCGAGGACUUGGUGCACAGAACCACGGGCCAGGGUGUUUCUUUGGGUUCGCAGGUGCUCGGAUUUCUUUUGCUGUUCCGUGGCUCCUGUGCGCGUGGGCUUGGGGACUGGUGGGCGUGGACGUGGCCUCCACAAGUGUAGUUCAAAGGAGAGGGCGCGUGAAAUGCCUUUCCCAGGAGAUGCGGGGCUGGGGCUGGGCUCUGGCUGAGGGAGGUGCUUUCAGGCGUCAGUGUUGUUUAUGAGAAGAAAAGAGCAACGUGGGUCUUUCUCGAGUGGCUUAAGUUGCCCUCUGAGAGAGCAUUAUAUUAGCCGUUUCUCAACAAUUUCCACGGCUGAAGUCUCUGGGCUGCGCCAGGGGCAUGGGUGGGGGGAGGCUGGCUUGGCCACGGGGCAGAGGCUGCUGUGUGUUCACCGGCUCCUGUGUGCCAACCGCACCCCUCUGCUGAAGGAAGGUUGGUGGGGCUUGUUGGCCUGGCCUGGGUGCCUCCCAGGGGCGGGCUGCUUCGCCUUGUACCAGGCCUCCCCCUGCAGAAGGACCCUGGCCUUGAAUUCUGCCUUCGGGCAGUGCCUGCACGUGUGGUUGGAUAGGAAGGUGGUGGAAUGCCCACCAGCCGAUCCUGUGUCUUCUCCCUGGAGAGGCAGGGGUAGGGUUCCAGGUAGUACGGCCCUAAACUUACAGACCUUCUGCACUGGAAAGGGGGUGGACCUUCGUGUAACGGGGCCUGGCCUGCCGCACCUGGUCACACGCUGGAGGCACCAGGGUCCCAGGGGCCAGACAGUGGCCCCCNNNNNNNNNNNNNNNNNNNNCAGACAGGCAGCUGGCAUUGUUUUACAUUUGUCUCGAGUCACUGAUCAAAAUGGCUUGUUAGGAUAACAUCUUUACCAUUGUUUUACUACGAAGCCAGGUUCUGUAUUUUCUGGUUUUAUGUCAAUUAACACAUAGUUUUCACGAGUUUUUGUUCAAGACAGGUUUCCACGUAUAAUACUUUGGGGGGUAUCUUUCGAGUUAAUUCUACACAUACGUUCUUGAUGGAAACAAAACUCUGGCCCCAGAAAGUUGAAGCUGAGCUGCCACAGACCCUCCGCCUGGGGCGGGAGCUGCUCGGCCUGCCCACGUGACUCGAGGACCCCGCUCCAGAACCUUCCAUGAGAGGCUUCCACGUGCCGCCUGCGCGGAGCCUCUCAUUUGCUUGGGUCGCGCGUGGAGUCUUCCACCCCGGCUGAGUGCAGAGGCCCGUCGAAUGCAGUUUCCACGUCCCUUCUAGAUCAGAUUCAUCAACGUCCAUGGAAGCCCCACGACAGCUGCAGCGGACUUGGGAAAACUGCCUGGAAAAUAAACACGAGUUUUUCUCCUGUUUGAUAGAGUGAUGUCUCAGUUUUGAACAUUAGAGUCCAGUUUUGGAUUUAAAAAGCCGACCCGAGGGGACGUUGACCUUGGCCUGUGCCCUUGCUGUGUAGCAGCCCGUGAGUGAGGUGUUUCAUGCUGUUUGAUGCUUAUGCCAGUCCUGGGGGCCCUGGAGGGCCCGCCCCCAGAAUCGAAGACCUCUGUGAGCUCUGCGGGGCCAGGAGAAGGAGUUCCACGGACCCCUUGAGUGACGGGAGGGGAGCUGCAGCUUGCUCCGGUGAGAAGAGGGGUGAUGGGCCGAGCAGAGGAGGUGGGGGGUGGGGGGUGGCUGAAGCCCUGGGGCUCCCCGUGCACCAGCUUUGGGCUACAAGGAGGCGCCCUGAGAGGUCACAGGGCAUUUGCUCGGGGACCCGGGUAAGACAUGUGCUGGGGGCAAGGACCGGUCCCCUGACUUCGGAGGUCUCCCUCGGCUCCUCCUUGGCCCCGUCUCUUCUGUGAGCAGCCUGGGCAUCGGGUCGAGGGAUGGAGACGCAGCCUCUCCAAGGCCACUGGGUCCCGGGGACACCCUUCCGCAGCCCUGCUUAGAUCUCGGGCCAGAGGCGCUCAGACCCACGUCUGGUCCUGUCUCUCCAAGUCCGGCGCCCGGGGUUCCCCACGGGCGUUUCCCCCGCUUUGUCCUUUUCCUUCCCCCGCAGAGAUAGUGGACGCAUCCGGCCGGCAGGAAUCGUCCUUCCUGUGUUGGUCACUUGUCCCGAGCCUGGGCUGGGUCCAAGCUGCCGGGUCGGAUCUGUGGGGAACCCGUCCUGUGGGGCAGCGCUGUUCCUGGAAAGCUGGGUCCCGCCCGGCCAGGGCCGCCGGCUGCAUCCUUGCUCCUUGUCACCGCGCACGUGGGGGCAGAAGUUGCCUGUGGGCGGACAGGCGGAUGUGCUGCUAAUUCGUCCUUGUUCCUGGAAGCGCAGUGGGAGCUCCCAGCAAAGGGCGAGCCAGGCCGUGUCCGACCCAGGCGUGGCUGUCUGACUUGGNNNNNNNNNNNNNNNNNNNNNNNNNNNNNNNNNNNNNNNNNNNNNNNNNNNNNNNNNCUGAACUUAGGUCUCGUGUUGUUUACUGUAAUGAGCCGUGAUUUCUUCCUGUCAGAGAGAGGUGACCAGCUUCUGGUGGGGUUUCCACGGAUGAGACGGGCAGGGCCUGAGCAGUCCCGGUGUUGGUCUGGGCACGGGGACACCGCCAGCCUUCCUGGUGGUGUAUUGUGCCGGUGAGGCCAGACGAGGCCCCAGGUGCACCUGCCGCAGCGUCUGGGGAGAGUUGCUGUUUGUCCCCCGCCCUCGGGCCUGUUUGUGUGACAGCUCGCUGUUCAGUGGGAGUGGGUGUUGAUUCUAGGCUGUGAGCUGCAAAUUCAUUUGUAUAAUCUUUACCCGUGUCAUCCCCCAGACCCCCGCACAACCUAGAACCCCGUCUGACCAUGAGCAAGACAUGGGUCUCCAGUGGGGGUGUGUCCUGUAAUGCCUUGCUCAGUGUCCCCAGGACCGUCUGAGGCUGUUGCAGCCGAGCAUCCCAUGUAGGACGGGAUCCUGGGAUGGAAAAGACUCCAGGAACCCAGGGGACCCGAGGGAAGCGUUGACUUUGGUUAGUAAUACAUCAGUGUGAAGAGUGAGAUGCUGCCGUUUGCAGCAACCCGGGUGGACCUAGAGCUGACCGUGAGGUAAGUCGGACACGGAAGCUCCGCAUCGUACGUUGUCGCCUGUACACGGCACCUGCAGGAGAGAAACAGACCCACAGACCUAGAAACCAGACUCAGGGGUACCGAGGGGAAAAGGGAGAGGGAUGAGCCAGGGUUUGGGGACUGAGGCGUUUACACCUCUCUGUAUAAAACAGAUAAGCAGGGACCUGCUGCACAGCACAGGGAACCAUAUUCGAUGUCUUAUGAUAACGUAUAAUGGAAAAUGAUCUGUAAAAGAAUAGAUGUGGAAAGAAUACGUGCAUAAAAGGAAUAUACGUAUAUGUAAAACUGAGUCACGUGACACCCGAAACUAACGCAGCAUGGAAAGCCACGGAAAGUCAUUGUCAGGCAGCAUCGCAAGUCAGCUGGACUCCCGUGGAGCAGUCGGUACACAAGGUCCCGUGGCGGUGGAUGUUGCCACCGGGAGGCUGCGUGCGGUGGUUGCUGGUCACUAACAGGCACUCUGCUCGGCUUUUGGUCAAGUCUGUUGAGAAACUUCAAACAAAAAAAAUUGUGGCCCUUCUCUCUGGCCGAUUCUGUGUGAAUGAAGGCUGUAGGUUCUGAACUUCUGACUGUCGUCCUUUGGGGAUUAGUCCACAUCGGUACAAAAACGGUUUCCUGUUUUACUUCGUGGCUGUGCGUGGAUGUGACGUCCGUUCAGCGGUCGUCCUUGGCGGCUGCUGACCUGUGCCCAUCUUCCCACUGUUGGCUGCCGCCAGCGGCGCUGCCAGAGGCGACGUCUUCUUCUUUUCCUUCGGGUCUUUUUAGGGCCGCUCCCGCGGCAUAUGGAGGGUCCCAGGCUAGGGCUCUAAUCGGAGCUGCAGCCGCCGGCCCACACCACAGCCACUGCAACGCGGGAUCCAAGCCACAUCUGCAACGUAUACCACAGCUCAGGGCAACGCUGGAUCCUUAACCCCCUGAUUGAGGCCAGGGAUCGAACCCACAACCUCAUGGACCCUAGUCAGCUUUGUUUCUGCUGCGCCAGGACGGGCGCUCCGUGAGUGAACCUCUUGUUGAGUACGCAGGCUUCUCGAAGAGUGCACCUGCCGGCAGUGCUGAGUGUGAGUCCUCGCAGGAGGAGAACAAACAGGGCAGGGAGCGGACACCCCGGUGCCCAGUGGCCUUUGUGUGUCCCUCUCGGUCCCUGCAGCCCCUCCCCUGUCCCUGGUAACCUCCUUUCUAGCUUCUGACACCUGGGAUGCGUUCUUCCUGGUCUGGAACUUUCUAUCAGUGCAACCACAGAACAUUCGCUCUCUCUGUCUGGCUUCUUUCACUCAACGUGUAUGUGAGGCUUCCUGACAUCGUGACACAGAGUUUCUGUUCACGUCCUUGACUGGGAAAUAUUCCGUUGUACGGACAGAUGACAGUUUGUUGAGGACAGGGGGGUGGCCUUCCCUGUCCUGCUGCUCUUACCGGCUUGUGGGUGUCUGUUGGGUGGCAUUUCCGUUGACAGUGCAUGUCUGGGCAGAGCGGUUUCCAGGUUUCCCGUCCCGGUUUAUGCUCAGGGCGUGUGAGCGGUGCCCUGGCGGCCCCGGCCAGUGCUUGGCCCUCUCCUUCCUUGCGGUUCCAGCCACUGCCACUCGCCUUGCGUUUCCCCAACGACCGAAGCGUCUGUGCAUCAAGCAGCUCCAUAGCUCUUUCGGGGAACUGCUGUUUAAAUCUUUUGCUCCUUUGAAAAAUUGGCUUGUCUUUCUUUUCUCUGCCGAUUGGGAGGAGGUGUUUACGCAGACGAGAGACGGGGCCUUUGCGGGUUCUUUGCGUUGCUGUUUCCUCUCGGAUGAUGCGCUGCCUCUUUUCCUUCUUAAAGAUGCUCUUUGAUGAACAGGUGUUCUUACUUGUAACAGAGUCCAGAGACUGGUCCUUUUCUUGACGCCUGCUUGAAUGCUGUGAAGGUGGUCGGUAUUAUUUUUUAGGGGCUUCGCUGUUUUACCAGGUGGGUCUGUGGUCUACCUGGAAUUGAUUAAGAAAACAGGGGAUGGAGUCAUAACUGAGGGUGACCUUUCCCGUGCAGGUGUUCAGUUGGUCCAAGCGUGUGUGUCAAAAAGCUCCACCCUUUCUCCACUGCUCUUGUCACGAGUCACGUUCCGUCCGUCUGUGUCUGCCCUGGACGUCGUCUGUGCGCCUUGACCAACGGAGCUUCAGAAUGAGCCACCGCGCCCACUGAUGUCUGUCCUCCAGCUUUGGGAGGGCCGUUUUAAAGGCUGUCUUGGAUCUUCUCGGCUCGCUGCCUUUCCNNNNNNNNNNNNNNNNNNNNNUCAGCAGGACACCUACGGGCAUCUCCAUUGGGAUUGUGUUGAUUUGCAUGUAAAAUCACGGGGUUCGAACCUUCCAGUCCAUGAAGAUGGUAUGCCUACUUAUCUGGGCCUGCUUUCAUUUUUUCUGUCACAUUUUUUGGUGGUGUGCAGUGUAGAGGUCUUUUAUUUCUUUGGUUAGAUUUAUUUUUAGGUAUUUUUUCAGGUGUGCUUAUUAAGAUUUUAUUUUUUGUUUGUGUGUUUGAAAUACAACUCAUUUGUAGGGAUGCCUGCUAUGGAUGCAUGGGUGAAGAAUUUGACAGUUAGUGUCCAUAAGGAUGCAGGUUCCAUCCCUGGCUUAAGUGGGUUAAGGAUCUGGUGUUGCCGUGAGCUGUGGUGUAGGUCGCUGCUGCAGCUCCAUUUCGAACCCCUAGCCGGGGUACGUCCAUAUGCCACAAG
ensembl:lncRNA